rnacentral:lncRNA from 1 species
AUUCUGCUCCUAGAGGCCCAGCCUCUGUGACUCCGUUAUCUGCAGGUAUUGGGAGAUGCACAGCUAAGAUGCCAGGACCACCUGGAAGCCUAGAAAUGGUAUUGCUGUCUCUAAGCCUCACCUGAUAACCUGUUUGGAGCAAGGAAAAGAGCCCUGGAAUAGGAAGAGACAGGAGAUGGUAGCCAAACCCCCAGUUAUAUAUUCUCAUUUCACUGAAGACCUUUGGCCAGAGCAUAGCAUAAAAGAUUCUUUUCAAAAAGUGAUACUGAGAGGAUAUGGAAAAUGUGGACAUGAGAAUUUACAAUUAAGAAUAAGUUGUAAAAGUGUGGAUGAGUCUAAGGUGUUCAAAGAAGGUUAUAAUGAACUUAACCAAUGUUUGAGAACUACCCAGAGCAAAAUAUUUCAAUGUGAUAAAUACGUGAAAGUCUUUCAUAAAUUUUCAAAUUCAAACAGUCAUAAGAAAAGAAAUACUGGAAAGAAGGUUUUCAAAUGUAAAGAAUGUGGCAAAUCAUUUUGCAUGCUUUCACAUCUAACACAACAUAUAAGAAUUCACACUAGAGAGAAUUCUUACAAAUGUGAGGAAUGUGGCAAAGUUCUUAACUGGUUCUCAGAGCUUAUUAAACAUAAGGGAAUUCAUAUGGGAGAGAAACCCUACAAAUGUGAGGAAUGUGGCAAAGCCUUUAACCAAUCCUCAACCCUUAUUAAACAUAAGAAAAUUCAUAUUGAAGAGAAACCCUUCAAAUGUGAAGAAUGUGGCAAAGCCUUUAGU